AUUGAACACUGGCGGCAUGCCUUACACAUGCAAGUCGAACGGUAACAGGUCUUCGGAUGCUGACGAGUGGCGAACGGGUGAGUAAUACAUCGGAACGUGCCUAGUAGUGGGGGAUAACUACUCGAAAGAGUGGCUAAUACCGCAUGAGAUCUACGGAUGAAAGCAGGGGAUCGCAAGACCUUGUGCUACUAGAGCGGCCGAUGGCAGAUUAGGUAGUUGGUGGGAUAAAAGCUUACCAAGCCGACGAUCUGUAGCUGGUCUGAGAGGACGAUCAGCCACACUGGGACUGAGACACGGCCCAGACUCGUCCGGGAGGCAGCAGUGGGGAAUUUUGGACAAUGGGCGCAAGCCUGAUCCAGCAAUGCCGCGUGCAGGAUGAAGGCCUUCGGGUUGUAAACUGCUUUUGUACGGAACGAAAAGCCCUGGGUUAAUACCCUGGGGUCAUGACGGUACCGUAAGAAUAAGCACCGGUUAACUACGUGCCAGCCGCCGCAGUAAUAC
rnacentral:rRNA from 1 species